CCUACGGGGGGCAGCAGUGAGGAAUAUUGGUCAAUGGGCGCAAGCCUGAACCAGCCAUGCCGCGUGCAGGAAGAAUGCCCUACGGGUUGUAAACUGCUUUUAUUUGGGAAUAAACCUUUCUACGUGUAGAAAGCUGAAGGUACCAAUUGAAUAAGCACCGGCUAACUCCGUGCCAGCAGCCGCGGUAAUACGGAGGGUGCAAGCGUUAUCCGGAAUCAUUGGGUUUAAAGGGUCCGCAGGCGGACCUAUAAGUCAGUGGUGAAAGCCUACAGCUUAACUGUAGAACUGCCAUUGAAACUGUAGGUCUUGAAUUCGGUCGAAGUGGGCGGAAUGUGUAGUGUAGCGGUGAAAUGCAUAGAUAUUACACAGAACACCGAUAGCGAAGGCAGCUCACUAGGCCUGGAUUGACGCUCAGGGACGAAAGCGUGGGGAUCAAACAGGAUUAGAUACCCUGGUAGUCCACGCCGUAAACUAUGAUUACUCGUUUUCGGCGAUAUACAGUCGGAGACUAAGCGAAAGUGAUAAGUAAUCCACCUGGGGAGUACGGAGUACGCGAGUAGUAACGUACGAAGAAGAAGUAGUACGGACGUGAGACGUAGACCGACGGACGACGACGAGGGAGGAGG
rnacentral:rRNA from 1 species